rnacentral:rRNA from 1 species
UGGGGAAUAUUGGACAAUGGGCGGAAGCCUGAUCCAGCAACGCCGCGUGAGGGAUGACGGCCUUCGGGUUGUAAACCUCUUUCAGCACAGACGAAGUUGCUCCCACGUGUGGGGGUGGUGACGGUAUGUGCAGAAGAAGCACCGGCCAACUACGUACCAGCAGCCGCGGUAAUACGUAGGGUGCGAGCGUUGUCCGGAAUUAUUGGGCGUAAAGGGCUCGUAGGCGGUUUGUCGCGUCGGGAGUGAAAUCCACUGGCUUAACUGGUGGCUUGCUUUCGAUACGGGCAGACUGGAGGUAUGCAGGGGAGAACGGAAUUCCUGGUGUAGCGGUGAGAUGCGCAGAUAUCAGGAGGAACACCGGUGGCGAAGGCGGUUCUCUGGGCAUGUCCUGACGCUGAGGAGCGAAAGUGUGGGGAGCGAACA